AAAGUCGUAACAAGGUUUCCGUAGGUGAACCUGCGGAAGGAUCAUUAACACGUAUCCAACGUUAAACCCCCCUGUGAACCUUCAGAGCGCUCUUGCAGCCCAUGAGGACAGCAAUCCUGGUAAAUCAGUGGCGAAAGUCGUUUUUGAUUCAGGACCUCUGUCUGAAAGGAAGUUACUGCGGCAAUUGAGCGCUUCGCAGUGGUCUGGAGUCCUGGCCGGGCGGAUGAAAGUGUCGCUGGACGGUUUCUAGGGUAAUGCUUCACAAUCGCUAGAGGCUCAACACGAGCCGGCGGACAGACUGCCGGGCGCAAGCCCCCCUCUUGACGACCAAGUUAAAUAAGGCCUCUGUCACAUAGCAAGUGCGCCGUGACAGAGGAAAACGUACAACUGUUAACAAUGGAUAUCUUGGUUCUC
rnacentral:misc_RNA from 1 species